GACGUAGGAGGCGAGCGUUGUCCGGAUUCAUUGGGCGUAAAGAGCACGCAGGCGGUUUGGCAAGUCGGACGUGAAAAUCCGGGGCUCAACCCCGGACCUGCAUCCGAAACUGCCCGACUAGAGGUAGGUAGGGGAGAUCGGAAUUCCUGGUGUAGCGGUGAAAUGCGCAGAUAUCAGGAGGAACACCGGUGGCGAAGGCGGAUCUCUGGGCCUUAACUGACACUGAGGGACGAAAGCUAGGGGAGCGAAUGGG
rnacentral:rRNA from 1 species